rnacentral:rRNA from 1 species
GACGAACCGAGCGAACGUUGUUCGGAAUCACUGGGCUUAAAGGGCGCGUGGGCGGGCUGCCGCGUCCGGGGUGAAAUCCUCCGGCUCAACCGGAGAACGGCCCCGGGUACGGGCGGCCUCGAGGGGGGUAGGGGCGGGCGGAACUGUGGGUGGAGCGGUGAAAUGCGUUGAUAUCCACAGGAACUCCGGUGGCGAAGGCGGCCCGCUGGACCCCAUCUGACGCUGAGGCGCGAAAGCCAGGGGAGCGAACGGG